rnacentral:rRNA from 1 species
CCCUUAGACGUUCUGGGCCGCACGCGUGCUACACUGACCAGUGCAACAAGCAUCCGUCCUUGGCCGACAGGCCCGGGCAAUCUUUGAACGCUGGUCGUGAUGGGGAUAGACUUUUGCAAUUUUUGGUCUUCAACGAGGAAUUCCUAGUAAACGCAAGUCAUCAACUUGCAUUGAUUACGUCCCUGCCCUUUGUACACACCGCCCGUCGCACCUACCGAUUGAAUGGUCCGGUGAAGCCUCCGGAUUGGCGCGCACCUCGGUGCCGCCGAGAAGUUGGCUAAACCUUACCAUUUAGAGGAAGGUGAAGUCGUANCA